rnacentral:rRNA from 1 species
GGUUAACGCUGGCGGCGUGCCUAACACAUGCAAGUCGAACGGUUCUAAGCGCGAGGCUUAGGAUAGUGGCGAACGGGUGAGUAAAAGGUAGGAAUCUACCCCUUGGACGGAGAUAGCUACUGGAAACGGUAGGUAAACUUCGAUAAGCCCGAGAGGGGAAAGUGGUGAGACAGCCGAGGGAUGAGCCUACUCUCCAUCAGGUAGUUGGUGAGAUAAAAGCUUACCAAGCCGAUGACGGAUAACCGGUGUGAGAGCAUGAAACGGUCACAAGGGCACUGAGAGACGGGCCCUACUCCUACGGGAGGCAGCAGUGGGGAAUCUUGGACAAUGGGCGAAAGCCUGAUCCAGCGACGCCGCGUGGAGGAAGAAGUCCUUCGGGAUGUAAACUUCUGAACUAGCCGAAUAAAAGGCCUGUGGACACACAGGAGAAGAAAGUAGGCUAGGAAAAGUCCCGGCUAACUACGUG